AGCUUUGCGCAGUGGCAGUAUCAUAGCCAAUGAGGUUUAUCCGAGGCGCGAUUAUUGCCAUUUACUUUUCCAUACUAGAUUACCUCUGUACAUCUUAGUAUAUUAGUAGUGUAGCAUUUCUUUCUUUUUUUUGUUUUUAAGA